rnacentral:RNase_P_RNA from 2 species
UAAGUAAGUCAGAUAGUCGCAAGCACAUAUUGUGUUUGAGGAACGUCCGGGCUCCAUAGAGCAAAGGUGCUGGAUAACACCCAGUGGAGGCGACUCUAAGGAAAGUGCAACAGAAAUAGACCACCUGUAUAUUGCAGGAAAGGAUGGAAAGGCGAGGUAAGAGCUCACCGUGUUCUAGGUGACUAGAAUAGCCAUGUAAACCCCACCUGGAGCAAGACCACAACAAGACAUAAUUGCUGCUCGCAAGUCUUAGGGUAGGUUGCUAAAGUGUUUAGGUAACUAAAAACUUAGAUAGAUGACUAUCAAAUACAGAACCCGGCGUAUAGAUUUGGUUAUAGA